GCUAUGCCCGAUCUCGUCUGAUCUCGGAAGCUAAGCAGGGUCGGGCCUGGUUAGUACUUGGAUGGGAGACCUCCUGGGAAUACCAGGUGCUGUAAGCUU
rnacentral:rRNA from 1 species